rnacentral:lncRNA from 1 species
CAGCCGCCAGAUGGCCGCCCUCGAGGGCACCGAGGCCGCCUACUGCACCGCCAGCGGCAUGUCCGCUAUCUCCUCCGUCCUGAUCCAGCUCUGCGGCGCCGGCGGUCACGUGGUCGCCUCCCGCUGCCUCUACGGCGGCACCCACGCCCUCCUCUCGCACUUCCUCCCCCGGGCCUGCGGCAUCCACGCGACCUUCGUCGACCUCCAUGACGUGGAGGCAGUGAGAGCGGCGGUGAGGGAGGGGAAGACCAAGGUCCUGUACGCGGAGACUCUGGCGAACCCGACGCUGGUGGCGGCCGACGUUCCGCGGCUGAGCGAGGUGGCGAGGGAGAAAGGGGUGAAGCUGGUGGUAGAUAACACCUUCGCGCCGAUGGUGGUGUCUCCCGCGAGGCUUGGGGCCGACAUCGUGGUGCACAGCGUCUCCAAGUACAUCAGCGGCGGCGCCGACGUCAUCGCAGGUACGCCUAACACGCCACCCUCCCUCCCUUUCCCGUUCCUCUGCUUUCCCAGCGGUCGGAAUAGAUACUCAUCAUGUGUCAGUAUCAAGUGUUUGAACUGGGUCUGAUGCCAUGU